GAUGAAGAACGUAGCGAAAUGCGAUAAGUAAUGUGAAUUGCAGAAUUCAGUGAAUCAUCGAAUCUUUGAACGCACAUUGCACCCCCUGGUAUUCCGGGGGGCAUGCCUGUUCGAGCGUCAUUUCACCACUCAAGCCUCGCUUGGUAUUGGGCAACGCGGUCCGCCGCGUGCCUCAAAUCGACCGGCUGGGUCUUCUGUCCCCUAAGCGUUGUGGAAACUUUCGCUAAAGGGUGUUCGGGAGGCUACGCCGUAAAACAACCCCAUUUCUAAGGUUGACCUCGGAUCAGGUAGGGAUACCCGCUGAACUUAAGCAUAUCAAUAAGCGGAGGA
rnacentral:misc_RNA from 1 species